rnacentral:rRNA from 1 species
GACGAACGCUGGCGGCGUGCUUAACACAUGCAAGUCGAACGGAAAGGCCCUGCUUUUGUUGGGUGCUCGAGGGGCGAACGGGUGAGUAACACGUGAGUAACCUGCCCUUGACUGUGGGAUAACUUCAGGAAACGGGGGUUCAUACCGGAAAUGAGUUCCGGCUGCAUGGUGGGGGUUGGAAAGGUUCGGCGGUUGGGGAUGGCCGGGCGGCUUAUCGGCUUGUUGGUGGGGGAGUGGCUUACCAAGGCUUUGCCGGGUAGCCGGCCGGAGCGGGUGACCGGCAACAUGGGGACGGGGAUACGGCCCGGACUCCAACGGGAGGCAGCAGUGGGGAAUAUUGCACAAUGGGCGGAAGCCUGAUGCAGAACCGCCGCGUGCGGGAUGCCGGCCUUCGGUUUGUAAACGGCUUUCGCAGGUGACGAAGCGUGAGUGACGGUACUGGGUGAAGAAGCACCGGCUAACUACGUG